ACUGCGAGGCAGGCAGUGAUGCUGCGGCCGCUUCGCACUGUGGCUCCUGCCGACCGCCAGGCGCUGUUACAGUGGAUGCGAACUAACCAUGCAGCAGCAGCCGGAACCCACAGUUCACCUUGGUGCAUUCCUUUAUGAUGAAGACUUAUUGAUUCAUUAUAUGAGAAAGGAAAAAUGAGCAGAAACUACUGUAUGAUGUGCAGCUCACACCAGACAGCAACUUUAGCACAUGUGCCUCACUCUUCAUGGUAAAUGUUUUACUGAAGAAUAACAUACAGAAAAGUGGACAAGUCUUAACUGCACAGCUCAAUGAAUUUCCAUGAAGUAAAUAUACCCAUAUGAUAAUCCAGCUCAAGAAACAGAAAAUCACUACCACCCCAGAAGACUGCCUUAUACUACCAUCUUUUAAGAGUGAAUCACACAUGGGGUACUCCUUGUAUCUGGCCUCUUUCUUUUUUUCUUUCUUUUUAAUUAUUAUUUUUGUUUGAGAUGGAGUCUCAUUCUGUCACCCAGGCUAGAGUGCAGUGUCAUGAUCUCGGCUCACUGUAACCUCUGCCUCCCGGGUUCAAGCAAUUCUCCUGCCUCAGCCUCCUGAGUAGCUGGGACUACAGGCACCCGCCACCACGCCCAGCUGAUUUUUGUAUUUUUGGUAGAGACAGGGUUUCGCCAUGUUGGCCAGGCUGGUCUCGAACUUCUGUCCUCAGGUGAUCCACCCACCUCGGCCUCCCAAAGUGCUGGGAUUACAGGCGUGAGCCACUGCACCCGGCCUGUUUCCAGCCUUUGUUCAACAUUAUGUUUGUGAAGUUAAUCUGUGUUGUUUUAUGUAAUUAUAGUUCACUCAUUCUUUCAUGGGCUUAAAUCUUUUUACAAUAAAAUUUUAAGAGAAUAAAAUUGUAAAAAAAAAAAGCUCAUGACAUGCAAUAAACUGUAUAAUUUGAUGCGUUUUGACAUGUAUACACCCAUAUCAGUACCACAGUCAAGAUCAUGAAUACAUCUAUUUCCUCAAAAUAGUCCAUGAAUUUUUUUUUUUGAGACAGAAUCUCGCUCUGUCGCCCAGGCUGUAGUGCAGCGCGCGAUCUCGGUUCACUGCAACCUCAGUCUCCCGGGUUCAAGCAAUUCUCCUGCCUCAGCCUCCCGAGUAGCUGGGACUACAGACGCGUGCAACC
rnacentral:lncRNA from 1 species